GAGUUUGAAGGUGUCUGACUGACAUCUGUCACCCCAUGGAGCCCAGGGCUUGGUUUCCCUGGCUGACUGGCUAGGUAGCUGUCCCCUUCUUCCCUUACUGCUCCAUGAAGGCCUUUCUGGAAGCCACUCAAUCCAUCAAGGUGGACAACCUUCCCCACCACAGCAGGGCCAUUCCUUUGGUCAAGGAUAUCCAAAUAACUAUGCUCCUUGCAAAUCAGCCUUCACGGAAAUUAAAAUAUCUACACAUAGACUUGAGUAAGUCACUUGCAGAGU
rnacentral:snRNA from 1 species